GGGGGCGAUCGGCUUCGACGUGGGGACUGAAGGUUAGUCUGCGUGCGGUGGCGCUCGAUCCACUCCAAAAGCGAGCCGUACCAAUUGCGAACGAUAACGCACUCGCUCUCGCGGCCUAAAAAACCGUAGAGCCGUCCAACCGCAAGAUCGUCCUGGUAGCGGAAGGGCGUCAAUCACGAGGGCUGGAUCCCGCGAAUGCUCUCAGUAGCGAGGGUCGAGAUCAGCGAGAGCUAGGUUGCUGGCCGAAUCCACAAACCCCGUCGCUUGGGUAAUGCGACUACGCACGUGAACGAAGGUUGACUGGAUGCCUUGCGGACCCGGGUUCGAUUCCCGGCGCCUCCACCA
rnacentral:tmRNA from 1 species